ensembl:lncRNA
AUUAGCAAUCUUGGAGUUGCGUCUUCUUCUCUUUCCCUACCCGAGGUGUCCCCGCUGGUAAGAAAAUGCUUCUCCGUGUGCUUCCUCGCUCUCAAAAUCUAACCCACAACUCCAGCGAGCCAUUGGGGGAAACGGCGGGACACUGUGGGGACAUGAUGGCGGGUAUCAUGGUGUGGGCUUCUCUCAGCGCUCUCCUCUCUCUGGUCGGGUGUCCCGCGUGUGUCCUCGUCCUCCGGCAGCUGUACAGAAGACUCAAAGCAGGAACCCCGUUCUCCCCCAACGACUUCUUCAUGCUCAACCUCACCGUCAUGGACUUGGUCUUCUUGCUUUUCGUCCCGUUCGGGCUGUGCAACUUCCUCCUGUGGCACGCGAGGGCCGUUCAGUUGUUGAGCAACUUCCUGUACGCCUUGAACCUGGCCGGGCGACCCCUGCUCACGGCCUGCAUCUGUCUGGACUGCUUCCUGGCCGUGGUCCAUCCCGUCACCUACCACACCAGGAAGAGUCUGACCCCGCGGUUCCUCAUGGCCGCCGUCGUGUGGGCCGUCACGGCGGCCCAGGGAGUGGCGGCCGUGGCGGCGGAGGAGCUGAUCCACAGCGCCUGGGCCAUGGUCGUUUACGUGGUGGCGCUGCCCUCAUCGUCACGUGCGACGUCUCC